rnacentral:rRNA from 1 species
AGAGUUUGAUCCUGGCUCAGAACGAACGCUGGCGGCAGGCCUAACACAUGCAAGUCGAGCGAGACCUUCGGGUCUAGCGGCGGACGGGUUAGUAACGCGUGGGAACGUACCCUUCUCUAAGGAAUAGCCACUGGAAACGGUGAGUAAUACCUUAUACGCCCUUCGGGGGAAAGAUUUAUCGGAGAAGGAUCGGCCCGCGUAAGAUUAGAUAGUUGGUGGGGUAAUGGCCUACCAAGUCUACGAUCUUUAGCUGGUUUUAGAGGAUGAUCAGCAACACUGGGACUGAGACACGGCCCAGACUCCUACGGGAGGCAGCAGUGGGGAAUCUUAGACAAUGGGCGCAAGCCUGAUCUAGCCAUGCCGCGUGUGUGACGAAGGCCUUAGGGUCGUAAAGCACUUUCGCCUGUGAUGAUAAUGACAGUAGCAGGUAAAGAAACCCCGGCUAACUCCGUGCCAGCAGCCGCGGUAAUACGGAGGGGGUUAGCGUUGUUCGGAAUUACUGGGCGUAAAGCGCACGUAGGCGGAUUGGAAAGUAUGGGGUGAAAUCCCAGGGCUCAACCCUGGAACUGCCUCAUAAACUUCCAGUCUAGAGUUCGAGAGAGGUGAGUGGAAUUCCGAGUGUAGAGGUGAAAUUCGUAGAUAUUCGGAGGAACACCAGUGGCGAAGGCGGCUCACUGGCUCGAUACUGACGCUGAGGUGCGAAAGUGUGGGGAGCAAACAGGAUUAGAUACCCUGGUAGUCCACACCGUANACGAUGAAUGCCAGUCGUCGGGUUGCAUGCAAUUCGGUGACACACCUAACGGA